rnacentral:rRNA from 1 species
CACGUAGGGCGCGAGCGUUGUCCGGAAUUAUUGGGCGUAAAGAGCUCGUAGGCGGCCUGUUGCGUCCGCUGUGAAAGCCCCGGGGCUUAACCCCGGGUCGCAGUGGAUACGGGCAGGCUAGAGGUAGGUAGGGGAGAAUGGAAUUCCCGGUGUAGCGGUGAAAUGCGCAGAUAUCGGGAGGAACACCGGUGGCGAAGGCGGCGACCUGGGUAGAUACUGACGCUGAGGUGCGAAAGCGUGGGGAGCAAACAGG